rnacentral:rRNA from 1 species
AUGGAACAAGAUGUGGUCUUGAAUGGUGCCUCAAAAGAUCCUACAUCAUCAUCCAUUGCUUUUUGCCUUAUGGCUAAGGCUUCAAUGGUAUCUCAUCCUUUAAAUCCCAAUAUGUCUCUUGAUGAUGAUGUUAAUGCUAAUGAUGAUGAGGAUAAUGAUGAAGAGAAUGAUAAUGUUGCUUCCUUAAAAAUUAAGGGGGAAAUUAUUUUUAAAGCUCUUCAUAAAAACAAAAUUCCUUGUUCCAACUUCAUGGAAAUCAUGUCCAUUGCCAUCGAGGGCAAGAAAUAUAUUGAGGAGUUGGAAUCUCAUCUUGAGGAGCUUGAGGUCACCAUUGAGAAAAUGGAAGGUCAUGAGCGUGAUUUAUGCUAA